rnacentral:rRNA from 1 species
AUUGAACGCUGGCGGCAUGCUUUACACAUGCAAGUCGAACGGUAACAGGCCUUCGGGUGCUGACGAGUGGCGCACGGGUGAGUAAUGCAUCGGAACGUGCCCAGAGGUGGGGGAUAACGCAGCGAAAGCUGUGCUAAUACCGCAUGUGAUCUGAGGAUGAAAGCGGGGGACCAGGCAGCAAUGUUUGGCCUCGCGCCUUUGGAGCGGCCGAUGUCAGAUUAGGUAGUUGGUGGGGUAAAGGCCUACCAAGCCGACGAUCUGUAGCUGGUCUGAGAGGACGACCAGCCACACUGGGACUGAGACACGGCCCAGACUCCUACGGGAGGCAGCAGUGGGGAAUUUUGGACAAUGGGCGCAAGCCUGAUCCAGCAAUGCCGCGUGCGGGAAGAAGGCCUUCGGGUUGUAAACCGCUUUUGUACGGAACGAAAAGGCUCUGGCUAAUACCUGGGGCUGAUGACGGUACCGUAAGAAUAAGCACCGGCUAACUACGUG